GAUUCCAUAGUGUAAUGGUUUGCACUCUGGACUUUGAAUCCAGUGAUUCAAGCUCAAAUCUUGGUGGAACUG
rfam:Danio rerio chromosome 4, GRCz11 reference primary assembly.